ACAGGUGUGAGCCACCACACCGGACACCUUCAUUUCCUUGUUUGUGAAAUAGGGCCUUCCUUCAAGAAUUAAGUCAUAUAAUGUCUGUUAAGAAACUAGCAUAGGGCCUGCUACACAACAAUAAUAAUCUAAAUUUGUCAUUUUUUUCCCUUCAAAAUAGACAGCUGUUGGGAUUCAAUUGAUUAUAUUUGCAAAUGAAUUUUAUAUGUACUGCUUUUGAGUAGUCACUGAAGUAGAAAAGCUUUAUCAAGGAGAUUUUUUGGUAGGAAGUGAGUUCUGAAUGGGGGUUGAAAAGGACUCUAAUUAAUUCAGUAAUUUUUUUAUUGAACAACUACCAUAUGCCAGGCAUGAUCUUAGGCUCUGGAAAUGAAGCAGUGUACAAAGUGGACCAGAAUUCCUGCCCUCAUGGAGUGUACCUUUUAGUGAACUGUCUUAGAACCAAAGCUGCCACUUUGGGAGGGGGACUUAUCCAGACUCGAACAGCCCCUUUCCUACUCCUUCUCUGUUGAUAGGAUCAGACCAGGCUGCUUCCCCACCCCAGGAAAGAAUAGCCUGGCUAGUACCAUAGGUCACACUUCACUGAUCCUAGGGCACCCAAUCUGGGUCUGACCUGCAAGACUCACAUGGAGUGAGGGGCUGGCAAGGGGCUCCAGGUCCUGCAGAACACUCAUCCCACUCUGGUAUCUGUCCACACCCAGAAAGUCUCCCUCCAGAUGCUAGCCAGGGGCCCUUGGCCUUCUCUGGGUAAGUAAUGGGGUAGGUGGAAAGGGUGAACCCUAUUUCCCACAGUUCUGGCCUGUUUGGUAGCCCGGUCUCCAGAGUCCAUAAGCUGUGUCUAUGUUACAGCCUGAUAGGUUCUUCUUGCCCACUGCCCUGAAAAUACCAAUGCACUGAGAACAGCAGGUGCUGCAGCAAAGAAGAAUUGGAUGAUCCCAUGGCCAGCCAAGCAGGACGGAAGAAAUUUCUCAAAUCCACUUCCCUGAGAUUCAGAGGCUCAGUCAGUUCCCGGGAGGCAGUCUCAGGACCAGCUGACUUCUCUCGGUCUGUGGAAAUGCUACAUCUGAAAACCAUAUCAAAGACCCAGCGACUUCUGGCUGAUAGGGGCUGGGACUCCCUGCCUGGCCUUGGGCACACACAGGAGCUAAACAACUCUUUGUGGAAUUACCUUUUAGUUUCUUUAUUCUUUAGGUUUCACAAUAGCGAUGUUAUCUAUAGAAGUAGUUGGGGAAGUUAUAAAUCUUGAAACCUCUAGUUAUGUGACUCUGGGGCAGUCAACAAGCUAAGUGAUAUUAGCUUAGCUAACUUAGCUUAGCUUAAGUGACUAAGCUAAGUUAUGGAAAAACAAGCUAAGUGAUGGUUCAAGCCCCUACCAUAAUUCUAACUUCUUGACCUUUCAUUAGCCUUUACAAAUGUGGUUUCAAUUUUUGAACAGGUAGGGGAUCAGUUCACGGAAAGGACUAUUAUGGCCUCCACACAAGAAUGAGCUAAAGCUGGUAGAAAACCUGGUAGAAACAAGAUGGAGUCGGUUACAUCAGAUUUCCCUUACUAAAAUUUUUGCAAAGGCAGUUUCAUCUAUUCCUCCCUCAGACUGGGGCUCCCUCGGGGCAGGGCCAUGUCUCCUCCCUCAGACGGUCUCCCCUUCCUCUCGGCUCCUCUUGCAGGCCCUGGCCUCUGGGGAGAAGGGAUGUUCUUACCAAUUUCUGGAGUAACGGCCAGCCAAUUAAGGUCUGAGCUGGCUGGAACCCAGCUCUCCUGAUGCUUGGCCAGGAGUCUGUCCCCUACCCGGAACAUCCUUAAACUCCUAAUUAUUGCCCUUGAUCUAUGAGCUCCGUGGUCAGCUCUGCCCCCUGUUUGUUCUCUGCUCCCUGUUUGUUCGCAAAAGUUUUGGGAGGCCUGGCCACCAAGCCACUGUCUCCCUAACUGAGGAAGAGGGCAGUCCGAGGGCUGAUACUCCAUAUCUCACCCCUCCCUGGGAGCUAUUAGGCAAGUGAGGUGUUUCCUUUUCUAAAGCCCUCGCUGUUUAGCUACAGGAUUAGUUCUAGUCCAUUUACUCACCAAGUUUGCUGGCCAAACACUGAGACCAGAAAAGCACAUCUCCCUUGCAUAAUAAAUGUUUAAUAAUGACAGUUGGAUUUGGACAGAAAAUGCCCUGGCUGGCAGGCCCGAAGCAACAUUAGCUCCAGAGAGCGUUUAAAGUUCAGCUCCAUUGCCCCCAUCUACCUACACACCUGCUUCCAGGCACUGGAACAUGCAGGCAGCCUUCCUACCUGCCUCCUUCCCACCUACCCACCCUGUGAUGGCAGAGUCAGCGGGAGUUACCCCUUCCCCACCUGUCCCAGGGUCUACUGGGUUUCCGUGUGUGGCCUGUUUCCUUCCUCAACAUCGGAGCUCCCCCAGGGCAGGGCUGUGUGUCCCCCUCAGACUGGGGCUCCCUGAGGACAGGGCUGUGUCUCCCCCAACACCCACUCCAGCCUGGGAUCUCCCUUCUUCAGGCCUCCCUGCUCAGCUCAGCACAGAGCUUGUUCCAUCAGAGGUUGUGGUGUGCCCAGGCUCCAGGAUCAUUUGUAAACAAAGGCCAGAUUCUGUGUCGGUGCUGGCAGAUGUUAAAGAUAACCCCUCUCAGCCCUUUAGGAAUUAGUCUAAAAUACAUGAUUGUAUUUCAGGAGCCUUAAGGGUGUUUCUGAAACCUUGGGGCCCAAGACAGUUAUAACAUAUGUCCAUUUUAGACUUUGGAAAAUAGGGCGCUAUAAUUGGAAAAGCUAGUGCAGUGCUAAGUACAGGGAGCCGGUCUCUUUACAUCUCAAAUACCAGGUAUUUAGGUGGCUUUCUUGGAACCUGGCAUUAGGGACACGUGUGAACGGGCCAGGCUCAUUUCUGAGGAGUGAGUGGGAGCGGCCAGUGAGGGUGCUCAGGUGGGGUGGGCAGCACCAUCUCUGAGCCCUGAAGCUAAUGCUCCUGCUCCUGGGACAUGGACCCCAGACUCGCCCCCUUCGCCCUCUUCUCUUCUAAUCUGGGCUUUCUCGGUCCCCAGGAGCACUUGGUAGACUCAAGGUUGGAAAUUGUGCCCUAAACCGUGCCAGACCCUGGCUUUCUCCAAAGGUGGAAAAUGGGAGCCCUACUAUUUGCCGGAGUGUGGUUGCUAUGCCUUGGGUACUGGCGCCAGACUGUCUGAGUUCCAAUCUUACCAUCCCCAUUCAGGCAAGUUACCUAACCUUUCUGGGCCUCUAUUUCCUCAUCUAUAAAAUGGGAUGAAAGUUAUAAUACCUACCUGCCAGGAUUGUUGAGAUGAUUAAUGCAAUAAUUUACAUGAAGCAUUUUGCACAGUGGCUGGCACAUAGUAAGAACUCAAUAAAUGUUCACUACU
rnacentral:lncRNA from 1 species